AAAGAAAGAAAGAAAGAAAGAAAGAAAGAAAGAAAGAAAGAAAGAAAGCAAACAAAGGAAGGAAGGAAGGAAGGAAGGAAGGAAGGAAGGAAGGAAGGAAGGAAGGAAGGAAGGAAAGAGGGCAUUGCUUCAAAUCUGUUGGAGAUAUGUAAUUUAAAAAUCUCAUUGGAUAUUUCUAAUACACUACUAAUGAUACCUUAGAAACUGGCUCAAUGAUAGAGGGAUUUCUAAGCAGUGUAAUUUCUACAUUCGAUGAACAGCUCCAUGAAUAUGCAAUAUAAAGAAUGAUUGCAGCUAACAUUGUUUCUAAUAAGGCUUAUUCCAAUCUCUGGGUUGCUUUUAAUAAUCACAUAGUCAUUCAGAAGAUUUGUUCUCCUGCUCCAUUUUGAAGGCUGUUCUGUGCUUCAUAAAAUCAGUUCAUAUAAAACCACUGAGUUGAUUUUUCAUUUUGCCUUUUCUGGAUACCUAGGGAUACAAUUGCAACUUGUCAUUUAUUCUAUAUGCAUUUUUGAAAGAUAACAUUUUUUUGUAUUUUGGGGCUGUUGUAAAUAAAAUGCUGUAAUUACAUAGCUUAUAAACAACAAACAACUGUCACAUCCCAACCUAGAGGCUGAGAAGGCCAAGUAGAGCCAGCAGAGGUGGGUUCUAGUGUGAGCACACACUUCCUGCCUCACAGAUGAUGGUCUUGCUGUGCUUUCUCCUGUCAGAUGGGCAAAGGAUGUUCUUGGAGGCCUCUUUUAUGAGCACAAUAAGCCAAACCUGAGAGUCAGAGCCCUCAAUGUGAGCCCUUCACACAGGCUCCGCCACCACACACCCCCGUCUUGUGACUAAAUCUCAACAUAAUGGACUGGGAGAGUGGAUGGCACAAGGGUUCUGACUGUCACACCUGGGUGCGUGUCAUUCAAUAAGAGCAAUGAUGACUUGUUCCACCUAGAAAGUGCUCUGAAUAGAGAGGCAUCUCAAUGCAAUUUCUUCACCAUUACUCACUCAUCUUUUUGUGAUAUCACUUUCCUUUAUUAUCCAGAAACAUAAGUGGAGGAGGGAGAGCUACAGGGCAUGGAUCCACAGAAGAGGAAGUAGGAUAUCACUGUGAUAUAUUCUUUGUUUGUUUGUUUGUUUGUUUGUUUGUUUGUUUGAACUGAGUGUCAGAGAUCCUAGCAGGGUUCUACUCUAUGGACUGGAUGCCUCUUCUGUGAGGUCUUGAAUUCAUGGAAGUGAUUAAAAUCUGAUUUGGAUAGAUUAGCAUAUCUCAGAGAUUUCUAAUUAACUGAGAUUCUCUUCCCCUUGUCUUUUUUUCUCCCUCUUUCUUUUCAUUUUCAUUUUCAUUUUUUUUCUUGCCUUGAUUUUUGUUUUUAUUAAGUCAUUUUUUUUCUUUGUUAGGCAGAAUCUCACAUCAUAACCCCAAAUGACCUGUUACUCACCAUGUGGCCCAGCUGUCUUCAAACUCACCAGCCUCCUGCCUUAGCCUUCUAAAUGCUUGGAUUACAGGCAUGACCCACCAUAACUGGCUUUGUUUUAGUUUCAGAGAAGAUGAAACUGAUGUGCGUCAAAAAGCUGGUAGUCUGUCAAGGAAAUGAGCUGAACAUGUCUGUGUACAGCUUUUGUGCCAUCCCUGGAUGAGCGAGCUGUCUGCCUCUAUGUUCUCCACAAAAUGGAAUAUAGCUGUACACCCAAGCCAAGUUAUGGAGGCUGGGAAGACCUAGAAUGUGGCAUCACUAUUUGCUGAAAUUUUUAAUAUAAUGCCUCUUAGCCUGGUUUGGAGAAAACGUCACAGAGAGGCACCAUUUGUUGUGGUUUUACAUGAAAAUUUUCUGACCCUGAACCUGGUUUGAUGGAAAUCAUUUGCUGAGGAAACCAUGCCGAUUACCGACCGAGCUCUCAAUGGAAAAAUGCAGUCGGCGUGAACCACGCACGAACACAGCAGAGAAAGAAGAAAACACACACCACGAGGAACCCUAAUAGGACAAUACAUUAUAAGCCUCAUGGUACAUCCACUUGGUGUGCUGGGAGAGUCAGGAUGAGGACCUGAGAAGAACAGCAGCUUGAACCUGACUUCAUUUAACAGCCCACUGCCCUCUUGCCAAGAACCCAUCACAGACCUUCCCAGAAGAGAGGGAUGAGCCUCACCUAUGAAUAAGUCCUCAGAAACUCAAAUUUGAUUCUAAUGGAUUGUUUUCUCAGAAAGACUGAGCAUGUCCCCCCACAUCUCUGUCAUUUCCCACAGUAGUAACCUCUGCAGAUGCCACAUAGAAAACAAAACAAAACAAAAAAACAUGAGGUUGGUGGGCAGAUAGGCAGGGUAUAAACAAACAGCCUUGUAACCCAGAAGCUGUGUGAUAUACAGUAAACUUCACAACACUGAAAAGAUGUCCUAUCUGUUAAAAUGGGGUAAUAACAACUACCCGAAUGUUUAGGAAUAGAACUUCAAUAAAUGAUACAUUUUAUAGUACAGCAGACCAUCCUGUAAAGGUUUCAUCCUUCACUGUGGUGAUAAAUAUCCCAAACCACAUUGAAAAGCAUUGCAUCUACAUUUAUCUACACUGUAACUGUACUGUAAAUCAUGGGGGAGGGGAGAAUCAUAAAAACACCACCUGUCACCGUGUCAUUAAAGCAAGUUGGAAGUGAUACUUACAGAAACACAGCAAGAGCACCCCCAGUCACACAGUUCAAUCUCUUAGCAAGCGUUUUCUUUCUAGCCCAGUGGUUCUCAGUUUGGAAUUUUUGGCACUGCCUAGAGAUAGUUUUGUUGUUAAAACUGAGAAAAGAGCCGGGCGUGGUGGCACACGCCUUUAAUCCCAGCACUCAGGAGGCAGAGGCAGG
rnacentral:lncRNA from 1 species